rnacentral:lncRNA from 1 species
CCCGUGGGAUCCGUGCUGGGGGCUGCGGCCGCCCUACGGCUGUCAUAUUAUGGGAUGUCGUCACCUUAUGGCGCGUCAGUCCCCGGCUGUCACCCUAUGGGGUGUCGUCGCCCUAUGGGGUGUCACGCUAUGGGGGGUCGCACUAUGGGGGGUCACCGUCCAGUUGUCACCUCAUAGGACCCCUGAGUGUCACCCUAUGGGGCGUCGCCACCUUACGGGUUGUCACCCCAUGGGAUGUCACCUAACGGGGUGUCACCUUAUGGGUUGUCACCUUAUGGGGUGUCACCUUAUGGGGUGUCACCUUAUGGGGUGUCACCCUCCAGCUGUCACCCCCUGGGCUGUCACUCCCCAGCUGUCACCCCACGCGUUGUCACCCCCUCUCUGUCACCCUCUCAUCGUCCCCCCUCCCCCCCCAUCCCGUCACCCCCCGCCGGCCCCACGCCGCCACCUCCCGAAGGUGACACCGCCCAUCGCGUGUC